UCCGAAUUGGUGUAGUGGCUAACAUUUGGUGCUCUCAUGGUUAUUAACACGUAACUUGACGGAUCCGCCAAGCCCGGGGUUCGAUUCCCCGAUUCGGAG